CCUACGGGUGGCAGCAGUGAGGAAUAUUUGUCAAUGGACGAGAGUCUGAACCAGCCAAGUAGCGUGAAGGAUGACUGCCCUAUGGGUUGUAAACUUCUUUUAUAUGGGAAUAAAAUGUUCCACGUGUGGGAUUUUGUAUGUACCAUAUGAAUAAGGAUCGGCUAACUCCGUGCCAGCAGCCGCGGUAAUACGGAGGAUCCGAGCGUUAUCCGGAUUUAUUGGGUUUAAAGGGAGCGUAGGUGGAUUGUUAAGUCAGUUGUGAAAGUUUGCGGCUCAACCGUAAAAUUGCAGUUGAAACUGGCAGUCUUGAGUACAGUAGAGGUGGGCGGAAUUCGUGGUGUAGCGGUGAAAUGCUUAGAUAUCACGAAGAACUCCGAUUGCGAAGGCAGUUCACUGGACUGCAACUGACACUGAGGCUCGAAAGUGUGGGUAUCAAACAGGAUUAGAUACCCUAGUAGUC
rnacentral:rRNA from 1 species